rfam:Oryctolagus cuniculus cont2.34242, whole genome shotgun sequence.
UGUGUAGAAAUGAACUCUGUCAGAGUUUCAAAGGAAUUAAUAUUUUUGGUACAAUGUGCUAAUGUAAGGAGUUAGAAGAUUAGUGAUUCAUAAUGAAGAAAAUGCAUUCUUUCACGUGGUAAUAGGAAUUUAAUAAAUGUCCUGCAGGUGAUGGGGGCUGUAGCAAUUUUAUUGAGAAUUACAGUUUGAUUGACCUUUGUUAGGGUGAUUAACCCUUCUGAAAUUAAAAGCCAUAGCUGAAUUAUGCUGUCUCAUUUAAAUGCAAA